rnacentral:rRNA from 1 species
UCGGUUGAUCCCGCCGGAGGCUACCGCUAUUGGAGUUCGAUUAAGCCAUGCGAGUCGCGAGUCUUAGGGACUCGGCGUACCGCUCAGUAACACGUGGGUAACCUGCCCUAUGCUGGGGGAUAACCUCGGGAAACUGAGAAUAAUACCCCAUAGUUCACCACGCCUGGAACGGUGGGUGGACCAAAGCUCCGGCGGCAUAGGAUGGGCCUGCGGCGUAUCAGGUUGUAGGGGGUGUAAUGUACCCUCUAGCCAUCUACGCGUACGGGUGUUGGGAGACAUCGCCCGGAGAUGGAUUCUGAGACACGAAUCCAGACCCUACGGGGUGCAGCAGGCGCGAAAACUUGGCAAUGCGAGAAAUCGUGACCAGGGAACUCCAAGUGGCUGGGGUAAGACCCAGUCUUUUCUUGACUCUUCAAAGGUCUUGGAAUAAGAGGUGGGUAAGGACGGUGCCAGCCGCCGCGGUAAUACCGGCGCCUCAAGUGGUAGUCGAUUUUAUUGGGCCUAAAACGUCCGUAGCCUGUUUGGUACAUUCGUGGGUAAAUCAACCAGCUCAACUGGUUGAAUUCUGCGAGCACGGCCAGACUUGGGACCGGGAGAGGUGUGGGGUACGCUCAGGGUAGGGGUAAAAUCCUGUCAUCCUGAGCGGACCACCUGUUGCGAAGGCGCCACACUAGAACGGAUCCGACGGUCAGGGACGAAGCCUAGGGGCACGAACCGGAUUAGAUACCCGGGUAGUCCUAGGUGUAAACGCUGUGGACUUGGUGUUGGGGAUGAUCCGAUCAUUCUCAGUGCCGAAGCGAAGGUGAUAAGUCCACUGCCUGGGGAGUACGGUCGCAAGGCUGAAACUUAAAGGAAUUGGCGGGGGAGCACCGCAACCUGAGGAUUGUGCGGUUUAAUUGGAUUCAACGCCGG